rnacentral:rRNA from 1 species
AUGGCAUCCGCCGGCGCUGGAAGAAAACAUCAGCGGGGUUGCGAAGAGGCAAGGUGGAGGAGGAGCUGGCGGCGCUGCAGGCUCGCGGAGAGGAAGGAGGCACAGGCGUGCGGGCAGAGCUUGGCGGCGGGGCCAGCGCCAGGAGACGGGGCGACGUCAGGCGACAGGAGCGGUGGAUCGGGCGACGAGGUCCGGCGACCCGGUGACGGGGCGCGCUGGCGAGGAAAGGAGCAGGCAGAGGGGGUCGGGCGCUCUCCCUGGCAUCGAUGUGUGGCGGCGGCACGGGAACGAGGGGGGAGAGAUGGGGAUCGGGAGGAGGUAAGGGAUCGGGCACGGGGCUCUCAAGGCGAGGAGUGA